CGGGAAGUAGCGCAGCUUGGUUAGCGCGCCUGGUUUGGGACCAGGAGGCCGCGGGUUCAAAUCCCGCCUUCCCGACCA
rnacentral:tRNA from 1 species